rnacentral:snRNA from 1 species
AUUGCUUCUCGGCCUUUUGGCUAAGAUCAAGUGUAGUAUCUGUUCUUAUCAGCUAGGUUGUAGGGUAGUUCUAUUUUUAAUUUUUUGAAGAACCUCCAUAUGGUUUUCCAGGGUGGCUUGCACCAGUUUGCAAUCCCACCAAGCAGUGCAAAAGAGAU